GGCAAUGUGGCGGAGUGGUUAUCGCGCUAGCCUAGAAUCUUGAUUAACUCCAGAAUUUAGCUAGUUCCUUCGGGAGCGUCAGUUCGAAUCUGGCCAUUGUCG
rnacentral:tRNA from 1 species